rnacentral:rRNA from 1 species
UAAGGAAUAUUGGUCAAUGGACGCAAGUCUGAACCAGCCAUGCCGCGUGGAGGAUGAAGGUCCUCUGGAUUGUAAACUUCUUUUAUUUGGGAAGAAACUCCCGAUUUCCAUCGGGAUUGACGGUACCAGAUGAAUAAGCACCGGCUAACUCCGUGCCAGCAGCCGCGGUAAUACGGAGGGUGCAAGCGUUAUCCGGAUUCACUGGGUUUAAAGGGUGCGUAGGUGGGCAGGUAAGUCAGUGGUGAAAUCUCCGGGCUUAACCCGGAAACUGCCAUUGAUACUAUUUGUCUUGAAUACUCUGGAGGUGAGCGGAAUAUGUCAUGUAGCGGUGAAAUGCUUAGAUAUGACAUAGAACACCCAUUGCGAAGGCAGCUCACUACGGAAAUAUUGACGCUGAGGCACGAAAGCGUGGGGAUCAAACAGG